rnacentral:rRNA from 1 species
AACGCGAAGAACCUUACCCAGGUUUGAAAUACAGAGGACGAUACCAGAGAUGGUAUUUCCCGCAAGGGUCUUUGUACAGGUGCUGCAUGGCUGUCGUCAGCUCGUGCCGUGAGGUGUUGGGUUAAGUCCCGCAACGAGCGCAACCCUUAUCAUUAGUUGCCAACACGCGAGGUGGGGACUCUAGUGAGACUGCCUAGGUUAACUAGGAGGAAGGUGAGGAUGACGUCAAGUCCGCAUGGCCUUUAUAUCUGGGGCUACACACGUGCUACAAUGGUCGGUACAGAAGGCAGCAAGACCGCAAGGUGGAGCAAAUCCCUAAAACCGAUCUCAGUUCAGAUUGUAGUCUGCAACUCGACUACAUGAAGUUGGAAUUGCUAGUAAUGACGUGUCAGCAACAACGUCGUGAAUACGUUCCCGGGCCUUGUACACACCGACAUA